UUCAUUGUGGGCCAAAAUAAUAAAAUAGGAGGCCUUACUUUCAGAGCAGCCCUUGUUCAUGAAGUUCUGAAACAGUAAUCAGCUUGAGUAUCGGUACCAUUUACACUCAUGACUGAUUUUGAAAAUGAGCACUCCCUAUUACAUGAGCCCUGUUACGUGGAUGAAACAUCUGUUGAGAAGGCUUCCUGCACGGGUAUCAACAUCAAAGACUCCUGGAGAGACUGGAAGGCUUGAACUCAAAGAAGAGGAGGACAGGAAUCAAAUUCCUGCUGAUGAGAUGUCUGCAGAUGUAAAUCGUGAUAUAACCACACCGAGAUGACAGCAUAAGAAUGUCCAAGCUCCUCCGAGGAGACAAGAUGACAGAAUGGAACAGACCUACUCAACUGUUAAUUCACUGACAUCGAACAUAGUUUGCCAAUUUUUUUCAGUUUUAAAUAAAAUACGUAUCGUUGAUCUAUAUAUAUAAUUGAUGGAUAUUGUGUGGAGAACGCACCCUGCAUCAGAGAAGGCCACAGAAUAAAAACUGUCAAAGAAACAAUAAAG